rnacentral:tRNA from 1 species
GCCGUUAUAGCUCAGUAGGUAGAGCAACUGACUUGUAAUCAGUAGGUCCCGAGUUCGACUCUUGGUGACGGCACCA